rnacentral:misc_RNA from 1 species
CUUUCUAAAUACAAUUCAACUUUCAUUUCCAGUCUGAGACUCUGAGAUCUUUCCGUUAGGGCCUUUAAUUUCUUCUCUAUUAAGAAAGUAAUUUUCCUUUAGUUUCGUUUUCGAAUUGGAUCUAUAUUUCUUUGCCAAGGAAGGAAUAUAGAUCUUCAACAAUGGACAAUGAAGAUGUGGAAAGCGGUAUGGAAGACGAAUUCCAAGCCAAGCACGGUGGUCGCAAGUACCGUCCGGUCGUCGCUAACGAUCGCGCAGUACUCGAGAUGUCCUCCAUCGAUCCUGGAUCUUCAUCCUCCCCCGUUUCUCACCAAACUAACCACAAGAAG